AUAUUAAAAGAUAAUCCCACUGAAAUCCAACUGCAGAUGAUUGAAAAAAUUAAACGCUAUAAGGAACCACAGCAGGUAACAACUUCAGACAAAGUAUGCCAUGUCUGUU